AUGUUCCAGCCAUCCUUCACACACACCUUAAGUGAAAUUAAUGAGAUCACUCUAUGGUUACGCUUUGUGUUUUAUUUUCACUUUCUAGGUCUGUAUGAGCUGUUGGCUGUUGUGCCAGGCCGGCUGGGGCCACGUGUGGACAGCCAGGAAGACCUGACCUUCCUCUGGGAUAUGUUUGGUGAGAAAAGCCUGCAUUCACCGGUAAAGAAGUUACUCGUCGAGCACCAUUUUCCUUUAGGUUAGUGAUUUCUGAAUUGUAUUCAUGAAACAUUUCCUUAAUGUGUGACCAAAAAGCUAUUCCCUUUUUCAUUUUCACUUUGAUUUCGCUACUCUAGAUUUUUGUUUAUUAUGUGUGAAUCUGGAUCUCAAAAGAAAUUCUCUCAACAUUUCUUCUUUGUCAUAUUUGCUCUAGAUUAUUUUUUUUCAUAUUUGCCGUUUACUCAAUUUAAGAAGUUUCCGUUUAUUCUUUGUAAAAUGACUUUUUAAAUGACUAGCCAUUGGACUUUGUCAAGUGCUUUUUAUUUAUUUAUUGUAUGAUCAUAUGAUUUGUUUCCUGUCAGUCUCAACAUAGGAAAGUUCAUUGGUUUUUGACUUUUUUUUUUUUUUUACUGAUUUUUGACUGUUCAACUGGCUAUCAUUGGACUAUUAUUUGAGAUAACCUAAUUUGUUCAUGAUUUGUUCUCCUUUACAUAUAAUCUGCUGGAGUUAGUUGACUCCUAGUUUAUUUAGAACUUUAAUGUCUCCUUUUAUGAGACAGCCCAUAAUUUUGCUUUCUUAUCUCUCUCAUCAGAUCUUCACAAUAUCCUGGGUAGCCUUAUGUUGUGAGGUGGAAGUCUCUACUCUUCUGUGGGUAAGUUUAUGAAAGACUGAAGUUCGUUUGUCCUUUAGCAGAACUGACUUGUUGGGUUCCUUGGGCCUGGAUGUUUUCUUUUUGAUAAGGAUAUUGGUAACUAUUUUAAAGAUGACAAGAACGUUUAGGCUUUCUAUUUCUUCUUGAUUAGUUUUAAUGAUUCAUAUUUUUCUAAGAUUUGGUCCAUUUCAACUACAUUGUCAAAUUUCUGAAAAGGUUGCUUAUAAUAUUUCACAUGUGCACUUUCUAUGCUAAUUGUUUUUCUUCUUGGUCCUGAUAUUGGUACUUACUGCCCUUUCUUCUCUUUCCUCAAUAUUGCCAGAGUUUUGGCAUUAGUCUUUUUAGAUAUAAACCUUUGGCCUUAUUAAUUUUCCUCAUUGUAUAUUAGUUU
rnacentral:lncRNA from 12 species